rnacentral:lncRNA from 1 species
GGCAUCAUCUUCAAGUCCUAUUGCUGUAGUUGAGCCGGCACUUGGAGCAAUACUUGCCAUUGACUCCAUCAUUCUCUACUUUGUGCAGAUAAAAAUCAAGUAAGAAUCAGCUUUUCAUGAGAGCGGCGGCACACUAAGUUAAAAAACAGUUUCAUGCUAAAAUAGUGAAGAGAGAAAAAUUCCGAAUGCACUGGCAUUUAGAUGUAUUAAGGAAAAGAGUGUUCUGAAAAUGGUGCUAACAAAUAGAUAGGGAACUCCAUGGGGAUUAAUGAAGUUACACACAUUGUACAGUUAGAUAAAUCCCAGUCUUUUCCCAACAUGCACUUCUCAUCCAGGUACUUGAAUAGGUAGAUGGAUUUGUUCGAACUGAUGUACAGUAUCAGGCAAUAAGUUGAUGAAAUUUUACUAUAACUAUUUUUCAUUAGUGGUGUAUGAUCGGAUAGGGUCCAGAGUUGAGUUUCCUUAGACCAGACAACCGAUGUGAAAUUCAUAUAUAAGUGGUUACGGAUACAAUUUUUCUAGCAAUGUUAGCAUUCAUAGCUUGAUAUAGUUGUUGUUUGAAUGCCACACAAACUUUUUUUUAGCUCUCAAGUUUUUCAGCUAGUCAUUUGUUCUCAUCAUAAUUUCUUCUGUAAUUCAGCUAGUCAGUUGUUUGGGUUCUUCACAGAGGAUCAGACUAAGUUGUUCCAGGGGCAGCCUGAUAUAAGUAGUACUAAAAGUGAGAUCCAGUUUGGGUCACUGAUUUUUUUUUUUGCGCCAAGUUUACAGAAAGUACCAAAUUCUAUUACUAAUUAAAGGCUCUGUUCAUCAUCCAAAACAACAUAUGGCCACACAAAGGAUCUUACUUGCAGCAAUAAAAAGGGAACUGUAACAUGUAGCUUACCAAAUGUUGAGCCAGUGUUGUUCAAUGGAUUUCCUGCUGUUAUUCUCAGGAAUACUAGUCUGAAGCUUCUGUUCCUUUAGCUGGGCUGUCAACAACUUAGAGGAGACUGAAGAACGGGCUCCGUCAGUUGGCAAAGAGUGAAGUGGCUACAGCCUACAUCUCAUGAAAUCAACAUAAAGGGAGCUAUGGAUCAAGCCAGAACGCACAACAUCCAACAUCAUACCUGAAGAUCAGAGCACUCUAUCCGUUGCGUCGGCGGAUCGGCGGAUCGGCGGAGCUAGGCGCCGGUUUGGGUCGUGGUCCGGUGGAGUGGGAGAGGGGGGCGAGG